rnacentral:rRNA from 1 species
AGAGAGAGACAUGCGCGCAUAUCAAUAAGCGGAGGAAAAGAAACUAACAAGGAUUCCCCUAGUAACGGCGAGUGAAGCGGGAAGAGCUCAAAUUUGAAAUCUUAAAGGGUUUCCCUUUACGAAUUGUAGUUUAAAGAAGUGUUUUCUGUUGAGGUUUUGGUAAAAGUUCUUUGGAAUAGGACAUCAUAGAGGGUGAGAAUCCCGUAUUUGACCUUUACUUUCAACUUUGUGAUACACUUUCAAAGAGUCGGAUUGUUUGGGAAUGCAGUCCAAAAUGGGUGGUAAAUUUCAUCUAAAGCUAAAUAUUGGCGAGAGACCGACAGCGAACAAGUACCGUGAGGGAAAGAUGAAAAGAACUUUGAAAAGAGAGUUAAACAGUACGUGAAAUUGUCAAAAGGGAAGCGUUUGACACCAGUGUUGUUUUUCUGAAAAUCAAUUAAAGAACUGUUUAUGCUAAGUUGUUUAGACUUUAUCAGCUAACUGUUUAGUUUUGAGCUUUUCUUUAAUGCACUUUUCAGUUAACAAGUCAACAUCAAUUUCUUUUGCUGUAAAAAAGCUUGAGGAAGGUGGCUUGAGAUUCAGUCUUAAGUGUUUAUAGCCUCUUGCCUAUGCAGUCGGAGAGAUUGAGGUCUGCAGCGUAGAUCCUUCGGGGCUAAAUGCAUUUGUGCUAAGUUAUAGCAUUUUAUAGAUCAACUUGUUGACUAUGAUUUGUCUUGGUAGCUUACUCGCUUAUGUUAUUUUACCUACGCUUAGGAUGUUGAGCGCAUGUCUCUCUCU